CAAAAUUUAACCAAAAAAUGUCAAAGAAAUUUUGUCUGUGUCAAGUUAUCUGAUGAUCGUAUUGAGUUUUAUUUUUGAUUCCUGAAUAUGAGCUAGAGAUUAAGCGGGAAACUAAAUCUAUACGUAAAACAUGGAACAUUUUGUUGCCAUUGAUAUGUGAUACCAGCAUAGACGUGUGGUUUACACGAAAGUGACAACAACCAAACAACAUAGAAAACUCAUGAAAAAGUAAAGAAUCAGGUUUAUUUUUGUCCCAAAUCCUGACCCUAUUUCAGCUAAAAUGGUAUUACGGAACCAGUCAAAUUUAAGGCAACAUUAUAGUCCAAAAAUUUGUGUUAACGUCAAUGCGUAAAUAAAAUGAUAAGAACUAGACAGAUAUAAGCUUAUGCGGAUUUUUUUCCAACUUACUAGAUCCAAAGGUAAAAAGUGGGAGUCAAGAGCCGACUUUUUUCUUUCUUUGCUCACAGGUACUUGUGGGCAGGAUACCCUUUUGGUUCCCCCUGAGUGGGAGUAUCCCAAAUGAUCCCCUAUGGAGUUCAAUUUUUAUUUAUUUUUCGUUGAACGUUUAUUUUAAUUAUUACAAGUAAAAUAAUAAAAAUAGACGUUUAAUGAAAAAUAGAUAAAACUCAGGGCACCCAAAGGUUAUCCUGUCCACAAGUACCUGUGGCUUUGCUUUUACUUUAAAAUGUUGCGACAGGCUAAAUUAACUAGUUUUCAAGUGUUUUGUUAGACACGACUAGAGCUGGAAUAUACGACAUCUCGGUCUCUCGAUAAGAUGCUGCAACGAGUCCACUGUCAAAAACAGCAGACAAGGUGAACUGCACUAAGCCAAACACGUAACAGAAAGCUAAAGAUUCAGCGACGCCAACUCUCACGUGAACGGGGAUGUACUCGUGUGUUUCGGAAAAGUAAGAAGUUCCUGUUAAUAUAUUGGCAGCUGUCGAAGUGUUUAUGUCAAGUACAAAUCCGGUGACAAUCAUUAACAAGGCAAGUAGGAGACGCAAUUUGUGGUUAUGACAAUGUAUCAUUUUCGUGAUCAUUUGUGAAAGAGAUUAUCCGUAACAAUCAAACGAGUCACAAAAAGCGUCAUUGAAAUAAGAUAUCACUUCAGUGUUUUAUUAUUAACCUUUUGUUCAGCAGCUAGCAUAAAAUCAGCAAACCCAAUAAGCAAAUCACAAUAGGAAACACUUGUUCUGGAAAUUGUAAUAGGGGGAUAGAUAUAUGAUAAAAAUAAAGGGUAGAGAAUAUAGAAAAAAAAAUUAAUAAACAUGCAGAGAAUAUCGGCGUGCUCAAGUAUAUAAAGAACAGGUUGUUGACCCCCUUACAAAAACAAAUAUGAGAGAUAUCCAUUAAAUGAGGGACUGCCCCUGAGACAAGGGAUCAUUUUACUGUUGAAGAAAAGGAAACAGAAAAAUAAGAUUUUGUAACUUAAAAACGGGAAACAUUUAAUAUAUUUGGAACAACUUUUCUAAAAGAGGGGUCCACUUAUAAUAAUAAAGAAGAUAUAAGUCUCGGAAUAUUACAAAGUUCUUGGACAUGUUUUGAAAAUAUAAUACCAGAAAGAUCACGGUAUGGUUCUUUUGGGAAAAGUUUCUUCAAAUGAUAUAAAUAUUUGCUCAUUUGUACUAAAAAAGUGGUGUUUACAAAAAAUAUGUUUUAUCACUUGAAAUGUACCCCUCAUAAAAGCGAUAGUCAUUACAUUGAGAGGUUACCACUCAUUUAAGGGUUGUUCCCAACCUGGAGAAUAGAAAUAAACAGGCAAACAGUUCACAAAAAGUCAAAGAAAAUAAAAUAGAAAUGGAGAAUCAUCGUUCAAGACUGUCAUAAACUUUAUCAAUCUGCACUCGUUUGUCUUUCUAAUUCGAUUAUCUUAUUCUCCCAACAUUCUUUUGUUUGCUAUCAAUUCUUCCUUCCAUUCACAUAGUAAGGUCCUUAAGUAUGUUUCUUGUCCUGGACGUAAACAAUGGCGAUUAUUCCCCUGUCACGUGUUGUCUCGCUUAAAUCCGUAUCAUAUUUACCGAGCUUAUAUGACGUAAGAAAAGUCGUUGAUAUCUUACAGCUGUUAUGUAUUGUGGGGUUUUAUUAUGAUGUUGGAUAACUUUCUUACGUAUUUGAACCUGAUGUCUCGUUUCAUUCAAAAUCUAAUUUAAAUUUACACAUAUACAUUUUGAGCCAGUAUUGGAUUCCUUAUUAUGUAAUCUCUGUCAGAUCAUCGUGAAAAAACAUUACAGUUUCUCUAUAUUUUAAAAGGCACAGUACACGUAUAUAUUAACAUAUAGAAUUGGAC
rnacentral:lncRNA from 1 species